rnacentral:rRNA from 1 species
AGAGUUUGAUCCUGGCUCAGAACGAACGUUGGCGGCGUGGAUUAGGCAUGCAAGUCGAACGAAUCCCAUCUGGGUAACUGGGUGGGGGAAGUGGCGAAAGGGGCAGUAAGGCGUGGGUAACCUACCCUGGGGACCGGGAUAGCCAUCCUAACGGAUGGGUAAUACCGGGCGAUCUGCCGAGGGGGCAUCUCCUUGUCAGGAAAUGAGUUUCGCCUCGGGAGGGGCUCACGUGAUAUUAGCUAGUUGGCGGGGUAACGGCCCACCAAGGCUGAGAUGUCUAGCAGGUGUGAGAGCACGACCUGCGCCACUGGCACUGAGACACUGGCCAGACACCUACGGGUGGCUGCAGUCGAGGAUCUUCGCGCAAUGGGCGCAAGCCUGACCGAGCGACGCCGCGUGUGCGAUGAAGGCCUUCGGGUUGUAAAGCACUGUCGANGGGGAGGAAGGCCGCAAGGCUUGACCUAUCCCUGGAGGAAGCACGGGCUAAGGUUCGUGCCAGCAGCCGCGGUAAGACGAACCGUGCGAACGUUGUUCGGAAUCACUGGGCUUAAAGGGCGCGUAAGCGGGUCGGCANGUUCCGGGGGUGAAAGCCCNCAGCUCAACUGGGGAAGGGCCUUGNGAAACUGCCGGUCUCCGAGGGAGGUAGGGGCAUGUGGAACUUCGGGUNNACCGGUGAAAUGUCUUGAUAUCGNAAGGAACCCCGGUUGG